rnacentral:rRNA from 1 species
CAGCAGCCACGGUAAAACAGAGGGUGCGAGCGUUAAUCGGAUUUACUGGGCGUAAAGCGUGCGUAGGCGGCUUUUUAAGUCGGAUGUGAAAUCCCUGAGCUUAACUUAGGAAUUGCAUUCGAUACUGGGAAGCUAGAGUAUGGGAGAGGAUGGUAGAAUUCCAGGUGUAGCGGUGAAAUGCGAAGAGAUCUGGAGGAAUACCGAUGGCGAAGGCAGCCAUCUGGCCUAAUACUGACGCUGAGGUACGAAAGCAUGGGGAGCAAACAGGAUUAGAUACCCGGGUAGUCCCUGUCUCUUAUAC